GUUAGCAUUUUCUUAAAGUGAUGAGUAUUUGGGAAAAUUCCAGUACAGCAGAUAACCCUUGUAAACACUAAAGCAGAUUUCAAAAUAAAAAUAACAUGGAAUAAAUAAAAUGUAAACAAUGAUGAAAUAAAAUAAAUAUUAAAACUACUAGUAUUAAUCUGAACAUUAAACAUGUUAUUUGAUUAAAAGGGUGCGUUAAAUUAAUAUAGCUUGCCUUUGUCUGCUAGUGUGACCCUACAAUGCACAGGUCCAUACAUGCCCAUGACAUUUAGCCCAAUUUUGCAGCCCAUAUCAGCUAUGUUGGUACAUACUCAGUGACUCACUUGUGUUUUAUCUGUGUCCCACCUGCUAAUGUUACAGAACACAGUAUCAGUUGUAGUGGGCAUGUGCAUCUGACUCAGGUUUCUCACGACCGCUGAGGGAAAACAUUUUCUUUUUUAACUUUUAUCUCUGCAGUGGAAGCUUCCCAAGGCCCCAGCUUGUCAAUGUUUAAAAUAAAACAAUGCCAGCCCGCAAAAAGAGAAAAAAAAAUGGGUCAAAACUGCGCUUACUGCUGGUGCAGGUGCUGAGCGCUGCCUCAGAUGAUCUCUGUUGUGUUUGACUUGACCAGUUCAAGUUAGAUUAAAAUAUUUUUUUUGGCUGCAGCUUUAAAGUUUUCUGAAAUUUUCACAUUAGCAUUUGGCAUUUUAUGUUGGUUUGUAAGUAAGCUUUUGGAUUUUUUUUGUGUGAUUUCUCUCAACUGACAGAAAAGCGUGUGAUGUAUAAUCACUAGUCCCACGUUUUCGUGAUCAAUACAACCAGUGUGUCCUAAUGGAGGCCAUGUUUAGUAAACAUGUUGCUGUUGCAGCUCAACAACAGCCUGCUGCCAGGACUAUAAAUAGGAUGUGACUGAGCACAGGCCAACAUUUGACCUUACAGUCGUAAACUGUAUAUGCAAGUAAACACAGCCUGCACACUGCCCUUACUCUUGGAUAAUGACGCUGAAGCUGCCAUUCAUAAGUGACGACUUCCACUUAUGCACAUAAAAACCUCAUGCAGAGGGGGCAAAAUGCUAGAUUUUGUAACCAGACCCAUCAGACACAUGCAAUUAUAAGUCUCCAAUCAGCAUAAAUGGGAACAAAUUGAGGGAGAUGAAAUAAAGCCAUGUAAGAUUGACUGAAAUAAUCUCUGGUAUUGUUAAACAACUGCAGUACAUGGAUCCAUAAAGUACUGCUUCUGCUAGUUUUGAUACUUCGGGAUACACCAACACUGUCAAACAUUAACAAGACAACAUGACAGGACCUCCCAGAAAUGCUUCCAUUACCACGAACUGUUUUUGGAGCUGGAUUUCAAACAUAACUCCGAAUAACUCUCUCUUUUUGUUUUUGUCAGGCACAAGUAUACAGCACUUUUUGGAUAUCUUUUAAAAAAAUUAUCCCACUCAGCUGCACAUUUAUUUGAAUCCGAGUAUGCUGUUUUAAUAACUCAUCUGAAGAGGAAAAUAAGUCACAUGUGAGGAAAACCUUCUGGCUUUUGAGACCAAAACAAAAGUUGGUGCUGCUGCUGCUGCUUUCUAACUUCCUUAACCCCCUGCAUACCCUCUGCAAACUGCUGCUUUCAGGUAGAUGCUACAGAGAGCUGUUUACUAAACCAGCCGCUCAGGUUGUCACUCUGAUGAACACUGUGAAAUAACCCACUGUUGUGUCAUUCAGGUCAUAUGCACAUAUGCCCUACUGAGUUUUGCAAUUACAGUUUGUAUAGUUUCUUAAUACUUUCUGUAACUUGUUUUUUCUUAGUUCUAGUCUAUAGUGUGGACUGCCUACUUUUAAAAAAAAGCAAAUAAAGAUAACUAUAAACUAAAAAUAAAUACAGAUUAUUCUGAAUCCCUCUCUUUUCUCAUCCUGAACAACAGUACCUCCAGGCGUGGUGCUGAACAGAGUUCCUCCCGGGGUCGUGGAGUAGUCGUUGGGCAAAUGCGCAGCGUCGUGGAUAGCGACCCGCCUAACGGCUGGGAUAUCCCGGCUCCUGGUGGCCUGGCCUCCCGCUGACAUCUCUCAA